UACGUACUUCCUCUGUUCGAAAUUACUUGUGUUGAAAAUGGAUGUAUCUAGACGUAUUUUAGUUCUAGAUACAUCCAUUUUUGAGAUAAGUAAUUUCGAACGGAGGGAGUAGAAA
rfam:Triticum aestivum genome assembly, contig: Triticum_aestivum_CS42_TGACv1_scaffold_322934_4BL